CGUAGGGGCAAGCGUUGUCCGGAAUUAUUGGGCGUAAAGCGCGUGUAGGCGGUCCGGUAAGUCGGCUGUGAAAGUCCAGGGCUCAACCCUGGGAUGCCGGUCGAUACUGCCGGACUAGAGUUCGGAAGAGGCGAGUGGAAUUCCCGGUGUAGCGGUGAAAUGCGCAGAUAUCGGGAGGAACACCAAUGGCGAAGGCAGCUCGCUGGGACGUUACUGACGCUGAGACGCGAAAGCGUGGGGAGCAAACAGGAUUAGAUACCCUGGUAGUCCACGCCGUAAACGAUGGGCACUAGGUGUGGGAGGUGUCGACUCCUCCCGUGCCGGAGCUAACGCAUUAAGUGCCCCGCCUGGGGAGUACGGCCGCAAGGCUA
rnacentral:rRNA from 1 species